rnacentral:pre_miRNA from 1 species
AAACCCAGAAAAGAGACGGACAGGGUCCUUUAGUCCAUCGCUUUUCUGGGUAUUU